UACGUAGGGUGCGAGCGUUGUUCGGAAUUACUGGGCGUAAAGGGCUCGUAGGUGGCCAACUAAGUCGGACGUGAAAUCCCUCGGCUUAACCGGGGAACUGCGUCUGAUACUGGAUGGCUUGAGUUCGGGAGAGGGAUGCGGAAUUCCAGGUGUAGCGGUGAAAUGCGUAGAUAUCUGGAGGAACACCGGUGGCGAAGGCGGCAUCCUGGACCGACACUGACGCUGAGGAGCGAAAGCCAGGGGAGCAAACGGG
rnacentral:rRNA from 1 species